rnacentral:rRNA from 1 species
AACGAACGCUGGCGGCAUGCCUAACACAUGCAAGUCGAACGAGACCUUCGGGUCUAUUUGCGCACGUGUGCGUAACGCGUGGGAACCUGCCCUUAGGUUCGGAAUAACUCCCCGAAAGGGGUGCUAAUACCGGUUAAUCUCUUCGCACCAAAGAUUUAUGGCUUUUGGAUGGGCCUGCGUUGGUUUAGCUAGUUGGUAGGGUAAAAGCCUACCAAGGCGACGAUCCAUAGCUGGUCUGUGAGGAUGAUCAGCCACACUGGGAAUGAGACACGGCCCAGACUCCUACGGGAGGGAGCAGUGGGGAAUAUAGGACAAGGGGCGAAAGCCUAAUACAGCAAUGCCGCGUGAGUGAUGAAGGGCUUAGGGUUGUAAAGCUCUUUUACACGGGAUGAUAAUGACAGUAACGGGAGAAUAAGCUCCGGCUAACUCCGUG